rnacentral:rRNA from 1 species
GACAGAGGAUGCAAGCGUUAUCCGGAAUGAUUGGGCGUAAAGCGUCUGUAGGUGGCUUUUCAAGUCCGCCGUCAAAUCCCAGGGCUCAACCCUGGACAGGCGGUGGAAACUACCAAGCUGGAGUACGGUAGGGGCAGAGGGAAUUUCCGGUGGAGCGGUGAAAUGCGUAGAGAUCUGGAAGAACACCAAAGGCGAAGGCAGCGUCCUGGGAAGUGACUGACGCUCAUGUGCGAAAGCUAGGGGAGCGAACGGG